rnacentral:ncRNA from 2 species
GCAGUCUCAUCGGGGCGCCUGACUCCGCCGCGUUCAUUCGAUGCGCCAUUGCGCUCGAACACACGCCUGUCAGGCUGAGAGUGUACCCGUAGAACCUGAUCCAGUUAAUGCUGGCGUAGGAAAUGAGGCCGGCAAGUCC